rnacentral:misc_RNA from 1 species
GAGCUUGGGUUUAUCUCACAGUCUUUCAAGAUACAAGCUAAAGUUUAGUCCUGACAAGGUGGACACAAUGAUUGUACAGGCCAUUAGCUUGUUGGAUGAUCUUGAUAAAGAGCUAAAUACAUAUGCUAUGAGGGUCCGAGAAUGGUAUGGUUGGCAUUUCCCGGAACUCGCAAAGAUUGUACAAGAUAACAUUCUUUAUGCCAAGGCUGUGAAGUUGAUGGGUGACCGUACAAAUGCUGCAAAGUUGGAUUUCUCUGAGAUACUCCCAGAAGAGGUUGAGACUGCAUUGAAAGAGGCAUCCAUGAUCUCCAUGGGUACUGAAGUUAGUGAUCUUGAUCUGGAGAAUAUUAAAGAUCUAUGCACCCAAGUUCUUUCAUUCUCCGAGUACAGAGCUCAGUUGUAUGAUUAUUUGAAGAGCAGGAUGAACACCAUUGCUCCAAAUCUUACAGCUCUUGUUGGAGAACUUGUUGGUGCUCGGCUUAUUGCUCAUGGUGGUAGCUUAAUGAAUCUCGCGAAGCAACCUGGAAGUACAGUUCAGAUACUUGGUGCUGAAAAGGCUCUUUUCAGAGCUUUG